rnacentral:rRNA from 1 species
AGCGAACGCUGGCGGCAGGCUUAACACAUGCAAGUCGAGCGGGCACUUCGGUGUCAGCGGCAUACGGGUGAGUAACACGUGGGAACGUACCCUUCGGUUCGGAAUAACGCUGGGAAACUAGCGCUAAUACCGGAUACGCCCUUUUGGGGAAAGGUUUACUGCCGAAGGAUCGGCCCGCGUCUGAUUAGCUAGUUGGUGGGGUAAUGGCCUACCAAGGCGACGAUCAGUAGCUGGUCUGAGAGGAUGAUCAGCCACACUGGGACUGAGACACGGCCCAGACUCCUACGGGAGGCAGGAGUGGGGAAUAUUGGACAAUGGGCGCAAGGCUGAUCCAGCCAUGCAGCGUGAGCGAUGAAGGCCUUAGGGUUGUAAAGCGCUUUUGUCCGGGACGAUAAUGACGGUACCGGAAGAAUAAGCCCCGGCUAACUUCGUG